UAACUCAAACCCGUGCCUUAACGGAGGAACGUGUAUGGAGGAACUAUUUGGAUAUAGCUGCUCUUGUGUCCUCGGAUACGGUAGGACACAUUGCGAAGAAAAUAUCGUAUGCCCUGACGGGUGGUUGUACGCGACCACAAAGUGUUUCAAAGUCCGCUAUUCAGCAAACUCACUUACUUUCUACCAAGCUCGUGGAAGCUGCUCUUCUCUUCCCCUUGUCACCUUGGGUAAUGGGAAGACGACCGGUCCUUCCAUGAUUUACAUUGAGAGCUUCGAAGAGUUCGACAAAAUAAGACAUCUCUUGGAAGGGUAUUUCCUCUGGAAUCACUGCAAAAGAGAGAAUGGACAGUGGAAAUGCUACAGAAAUCGAAAUGGGGACUUAAGUUCCUACCGAAACUGGGGCACGAACCAACCGGAAAAUCAUCAUCUCAAAGAUUGCGCUCUGAUUUACGUGCCUGAUGGGAAGAUGUAUAACUCCCACUGUAAUGAGCCAGCAGCCGUUGUGUGUCAAGUCAUCAUAUAGGGGUCAGAGGGGCUAGAGCCCUAAGCCCGCCAGGCACUAAAUUUUUAUUUUUUUUUUGUAAAGCGACGCAGAACAAAUUCAAAAAACCCAUUGAAUGCAUUAAAUAUACCCGUCAAAAUAAUGAACAGCUGGGAGGCCUUUGUCGAAAAUUGAUUUACCGGAGCGGCAGUUCCGUCCUAACUUUCAAAGCUGCUAAAAAUGGAAAAUGUGUCAUUUGGGCAGAGUUAGGACGAAACUACCUUCUUUAUAUAUCCCAAUAUUUUAUAUUAUUUAAUUUGAUGAAUCAGAAGACAAGAAUUAUUGUGAUGUAAUGUUAAUAAUGAUACAUCAUUAUCAUUAAUUUUCUACUGUGCCGUAUUCAUGGGGUAAAUGUCGGUAGUGGGGGAUACAUUCCCUUUCAAAGGUGGGGGGGGGGGUGGCAUGUACAAUCAACCCCCUCCCUACCCCAACUACAUGUAAACGAUCUUUUUUUAAGACAGAAAGGAUAAUUUUUUUAAUCGUCGAAUGAUAAAUAUUACUUUUAAUGAGUAGAAUUAUCUUUACCUACAAUGUGCUUAAAUGACCUUUUUUCAGAUUGUGUAAGUACAGGGUUGGGCGAAGGUUUUUUUUUUUUUUUGGGGGGGGUCAAUUCUCUGGUGGUUAUGCCGUUUACUAUCCAUCAUUUUACUAACCUCUCAAAAAAACUGUGAUAACGUAUCUUCAUGGCUGAGCGGGCACAUUUUGUGACGUAUCAUCAUAGGGGGUUUAUGGUAAAAACGUCUCUAUCUUAAAAAUACAUGUUAAGUUGAAAUCUUUUAAAUAACAUGUAAUAAAUCUUUUUUUUAUACUUUGUAUGUUGAAGAUUCUACAGCUUAAUUUAAUCGUUUGCUAUCACAAUUUUACUAUUUUACUAUGUAAAUAUGUAACGUUUUUAUUGUUUUUAAAUCUCAAUGCAUUUUACCUGCUACCAUCUCUAAGUGAGUCAUGUAAGAUAUGGCGUGUACAUGUUAAAAUGUGAUGAACGUGAUCUGUUUAUUUUUCUUCUUUGUUUCCGUCAUGUUUUUCCUCCCUUUCUCUCCUCGCUUGUUCAUUCUCUCCAUUUAUAUCCCUACACCUUCACGACUUCCAUUAACAUUCGUCUAGUUUCCCUCUUUAUUUUCACUCACCUACCCCUGCAUUUUUCUUUUUCUCCACUGAAACUUUUUUUCUAAGAUCACAAAGUUCAUAUAAUUUAAGGUUUUUGUAUAAUUUGAUACAAUUUUACGAUACUUUGUAUGUCUGUAAAAUUGAUCCCAAUUCGGCCUUUGGCUGCGAUGAUCUUUUAAUAAACCAUUUUAUAUAUAUAUCUAUAUAUAUUUUCACUCACCUACCCCUGCAUUUUUCUUUUUCUCCACUGAAACUUUUUUUCUAAGAUCACAAAGUUCAUAUAAUUUAAGGUUUUUGUAUAAUUUGAUACAAUUUUACGAUACUUUGUAUGUCUGUAAAAUUGAUCCCAAUUCGGCCUUUGGCUGCGAUGAUCUUUUAAUAAACCAUUUUAUAUAUAUAUCUAUAUAUCUAAAGCCCAUUUCACAAUUGACAUAUGUCCAGUUUACGACCGCUUGCAACAAUUUUUUCUUGUUGUCGCACGAUCAAUCUCUUGGUGUCUUGCGAGCAUUCGCAGUCGUUUAUAACGAUCGCACGAACUCGAGGUGUUCGUGACUGGUCGCAUCUGAACUUUGAACAUGUUCAAAUCCAAACAAGAUCAAAUACGAUCGAUUCACUCGCAUCAGGUCGUGCCAUCGGUCGGGCGAUCAUCGUGUGAGUGUUGUUCAACGUUGUACGACCUGAUGCGAGAGGUGGCACAGCUACACUGCAAAAAUGCCAGUGUUAAUUUAACACCAGCAUGGUAUGUAUAUCGGUCCACACCAGAGAGGUGUUGAAACAACACCAGUUUGGCCUUUAAAAAAGCUGACACCAAUAUGGCAUUCAAAUAACACAAAUUAGUGUUAAGCCAAUAUCGGUUUGAUUUUUAACUGGUGUUGUUUCAACACCUCUCUGGUGUGGACCGAUAUAUAUAUCAGGCUGGUGUUAAAUUAACACAAGCGUUUUUGCAGUGUAAAUAGUCACAUUAAGUCGACUGGAAGUCGUACAAACUUGCACAUGUGCUAGCGACUUACAGAGACCAGUCUUGCGACUUGGUGCGAUGAUAUAUAGGCCAUAAGACGGUUGCAAGACCGAUCGCAACACGGCUUAGAACAUUGCACUAUCGUUGCAUUUGCAUGUAUGCGACCGUUCCUCGGUGUUACAAAAUAGGAGUUAAUAAUAAAUGAAAGAAAUGGCAGAAAAUAUAACAAACAAAUGUAACAUAAACUGCACAAAAUUAAAACGGCAAGAUAAGUUUAUGUUUUUGUCUUUUGAAACAUAAAUCAAACUUUUCCGAAAUAAAACCUAGAGAAAAUAGGGUAAAGGGCAUUCCUACCUCAACAAACAGGCCCGCAUACUGAAUUCGGGUUUAAGUUAAACUCUUCUAAGGUUGUCGUUUAAUUAAGGAUAACUAAUUGUUACAUAAUUCUGUAAUGGUGCAGAUUUAAUUUAUUAGCUCAUUCAAACAACAUAAUAUGUACAUACGCGCAUACAUACACGCACCUAGCUCAUUGCAGAUUGACUGACAGCCCAUUGGAAUCCCCAAGCUAUGGCAGCUAUUACAUUGCUCUGAGUUCGAAUUAGUCUAUACCUCGCAUACAUUACACGAACACUCGCACUGGUUUCAUUCAAACGUACGAGCAAUCUCAUUGUCUCACGUGGACUCCACGACUAUGCAAUCAGUCGUGCAACUAAUGAGACUGAUAUCAAACCAAUCGCAGUCUUUCGUGCAACACUCGAAUGUGUAUCGCACGAGCACGAGAUGAAUAGGAUUGAUAGUUGUUGCAUCGUGUCGCGCGACCAAAAGUUCGCAAAUGAUCGUACGUCAAUUGUGAAAGAGGCUUAAUGUAGCGGAUUUUGAAAUACACACAUGCGCUUCAUUUCAAAUAUUGGCAAGCAGCAAUUCACUUAUUUUCGACAAAGACAUUUUGGUUGCUCUUUUCCCGAAGAGCAUUUUGACGAUUCAUUUGUUUUAUUCUUGAAAUCGUUCUGAGUAGCGGAGCAAAAACUGACUAUGACACGAUCCAAAUACGAAGCGCUUGUUUCUCUAUGAAAUGUUAUUAUAAUUAUUUCAUUUCAAGUUUGGCAUAAUGCGAGGAAAAUUUAAAAAAGAGAGUUCUCGUUUCUACAAGCCUUGUCGGGAAAAGUUCAGAUCGGCUUCAAGCAUGUCAAGUCGCAGCCGGUGAUAAAGUCCUUAUGAUUAGGAAUUGAAGUUGUUGUUUCUUUUUUUAUUAUUACUGUAGGGAAGCUAGAAAUAGACUAGAAUUUCGAUUUUAGUACUUUUAAAACUAUUGGGAUCUUCGAUUGAUAAGAUUUGAUAGGUUCGAAUAUUUAAUUGGAAAGCUGAAAUGAUUUGUUUAAAAAUUGGAUAGCAACGAAUCGUUGUCAAGUUGUAGACGCGCUUUUUUUAAGCCCCUUUCACAAUUGACGUCCGACCAGUUUACGACAGCCUGCAACAGUUUUUUAUUUGUUGUUGCACGAUCGAUCUCUUGCGAGCACUCGCAGUCGUUGUAGACGGUCGCACAAACUCGAGGGGGUCGUGACUGGUCACAUCUGAACUUUGAACAUGUUCAAAAUCCGAACGCGAUCAAAUACGAUUGAUUAUCUCGUAUCAGGCCGUACCCGGGGUCGUACCAUCGGUCGGGCGAUCAUCGUGCGAGUGUUGUUCAACGUUGUACGACUUGGUGCGAGAGGUGGCACAACUAAGUAGUCGCAUUUACUUGACUGGAGGUCGUGCAACACUUGCACAUGUGCAAGCGACCUACAUGUACAGAGACCUGUCUUGCGACUGGUUGCGAUAAUAAUAUGGGCCAUAAGAAUGUUGCAAGACCGCAACGGCUUACAACAUUGCACUACCGUUUCAUUCGCAUGUAUGUGACCGUUUUACUCGCAAUCCCUCGUGCAACGCUCGCAUGUGAUCGCACGAGCACAAUAAGAGCAUAUGCGACUUACUCGUGCAACGGGGUUUACUGGUUGUUUUUGUUGUACGACAGCUGUUGCAACUGUGAAAGCCUCUGUGCGAUCUUAUGAGAUGACUAACGAUUGAUGCCUCUUGCAGCCUGUCGCACGGCCAAAAGGUCGCAAAUGGUCGUACGUCAAUUGUGAAAGGGGCUUUAGGGGGGGCAGUUUUACGGAUCUAUCCGAACAGUCAUUGACUUACACCAGCAGUAUUUUCUCUUCCCCUCCUUAUCCAUCUAUCGUCCAUUAUACUUUGUGGAAGACCAAUGUGAUUUAGCAUUUUAGCUUGUUUAAUACUCAUCAGUAGUUAGCUGAAUUAAAGUAAGUACUUGAGCUUUUUGUUAUUUGCUGAAUUACAAAAUCCUUUUUGUCCUUGGAAUGAAUAGGCGCUUUGCAUAAUAUCUUCACAAAUUUUCAUUCAAUACACGCCUAAGUAGCAAAAAUAAGACAGUUCAAAAGUAAUUUGUUUUCUGUGUAAAUAUUUCUUUGAGUAGUCUGCUUCAGUUGCAAAAUAAUGAAAGUAUGCACUGGUCAUUGUUUAUUCUAUGUGUAUCAAUAGUUAGCCCGUCUUAGUUUAGUACCGAAUUGUGUUCUUCUUUAUUAAUACAUCGGAAUAUCAGUUUGCCUUUCAAAUAAAUAUGCGUUAUGAAUAAUAUCUUUACAUAUUUGUAAAAUCGUGUGCCUGAGUAGUAACAAUGGAAUAGUUGACAAGGUUGUUUUUCUUGAAUCCGUGUAAAUAUUACAUGUCAUAUAACUAUUUAAUUGCAACAAUAUACAAAUCAAAUAGUGUGCUUGUAUUGCAAAAUAAUAAAAGUGUGAAGUGCAUAUUAUUUAUUCCUUGUACAUCAGUAAUAAUCUUUAUCCUGUGUAUAGAUUAUUUGUCAAACAGCCUCACAAUUGCAAAACUACUAGUAAUUAAAUCAAGUAGUGUGUUUUAAUGUCAAUAUAUUAAGAGUGUGCAGUGUUCAUUAUUAUAUGUUCAUAAAUUUAUUUACAUGCCAUUUCGUGAGUAGUUUGCCAAUUUAAAGUUGGUAAGGGAUAUCAGUUUGUAUUCAAAUCAUACACUUGAUCGGGAAAAAUAAGCCAAUUGAAAAGGAAAAAUGUUUAUUUCGUCUGUGUAAAUAUUACAUGUCAUACACCUAUACUAUUGCAUUAAAAUAAAAUCGAAUAAGUGUGCUUUCAUUGCAAAAUAAUAAAAAAAAGUGCAAAGUGUAUUAUUUAUUCCAUUUACAUCAGUAAUUCGGGGGGAAAGGUGUGUUUUUAGUUUGCGUAAAUAUUGCGUGUGAUACAACUAUACAAUUGCAUGAGUAAUUAAAUCGAGUAAAUGUGCUUUCAUUGCUAAAUAUUAAAAGUGUGCAACGUGUUAUUCCGUGUACACCAGUAAUCCGGUGAAUUUGUUUCUGUGUAAACCUGGCAUGUCAUUGAACUAUCAAACUGCAAAGAUAAUAAAAUCUAGUAGUGUGCUGAAAUUGCAAAAUAA